GGUUUCAUGGUCUAGUUGGUCAUGAUUUCUCGCUAACACCGAGAAGGUCCCCGGUUCGAGCCCGGGUGAAACCA
rnacentral:tRNA from 2 species